rnacentral:sRNA from 1 species
GUGACAGAGCUGUAGACCACAUCCCUUCAGUCACCUGGAACAAGAACAGCCAGACAGGAGCCAGGCACACAUCCCCACAUUAGCCCAGUACGUCUCAACCCUAUUUUGAAUUUUGAAGGAAUUGCCACUAGGGGGAAAAGAGAUAGUUUGGUCUUCAUGCCCAUUUAAUCCUUCACCUGC